CUCUUCACAACACUAUGACAAUGGAGUCUUGAGAAUAGGACUAUUUUUCCUUUUAUAUUUAUCAGACACCUAAGAGUAUGUUGCAUAUUAUUUUUUCCUAAUUGUUAGCAUAAGUCAAAUAGCUUAUUACGUUUUGUUAAAUGAUGUAUCGAGAUUCAAGUCGAAAAUGAAAAGAGACAGACAACUGCAUCUUUUAAUCUAUGUACAAUGUAAAUUAAAAAAUAAUACAUCGGAUAACAACAAAAAUGUAUAGUGUUCUAAGAAGAACACUUAAUUACGGAAAACAACUGACCGGGGAAAGAGCAUGUAAAGGAUUCUAUUCAAUAAGAAAUGCCAUGAAGCCUGGUGAAGGAGGAAUAAAUAAAAUGAAUUAGCACUUUUUGUUGAAAAUAGUUCGUGUGAUGGGUCUGAGUACUCUCAUGGUUCCAUUGAAUUCAUAUCUGUUUAUGAAUUAGGGAUAUCCAUGAUGUUUAGUACCAUUCAUUUUGCAGAUGUCCUUUAACAUCCAAACGGUUACUUCAUAAUCCAUUGGUUCAAAUACACAUCCGUCGCUCUAUAUCUUCUGUGGAAUCGUUGUAUACUUGUAUAAUAACUGAGAUAUGUUUUAUUAAGAUGAGUAAUACUGGAAUGAAAGUUACAGUGAGGAACAACGAGGCUUAUCAUCCUUGAUCUACAGCUCUUUCCUUGAAAUUCUUCCCAAUGUCUACUCUAUUUCGUCUCCUAAUCAUAGAAAACUCUUUCAUCGAUUUGAAUACUUAAGUGUCAUUGAUGUACAUAACAAACAACAACUCAUAUCUAUGACACUGAAUCUAUUUAUAUUGCUGUAUUAUUUCAGUAAUUCAAGACACUUCUUCCUUGCUUCAGAUUCCAUUAUUACUUGUGAGACUCUUCUAUCAUUGGAAAAAAAAGCAGAAGACAAUCCUGGACCAUGAUAUUUAAUGUGGCCCCCUCCCUCUACACUGUCGAAUUGGAUUAAAGAUUUUAAAUUAGAUAUUAUAUUCCUAUGGAACAGCCUCGAUGUAAUGACGCAAAACUUAUCUGUGAAUAAAUGUAUUAAUAAUU
rnacentral:lncRNA from 1 species